AGCCGCGGUAUUUUGACCGUGCAAAGGUAGCAUAAUCACUAGUUUUUUAAAUGAGAACUUGUAUGAAUGGUUGGACGAAGGAAAAACUGUCUCUGUGAUAAAAUUUGAAUUUGACUUUUAAGUGAAAAGGCUUAAAUUUUUUAGGGGGACGAUAAGACCCUAUAAAGCUUUACAUAUAAAUAUAAUUUGGACAAAAUUGUACAUAAAGAUGUGAUUAAGUUAUUAUGUUUCGUUGGGGCGAUGUGAAUAUAAGUAAUAUUAACUGUUUAGAGUUAAUACAUUAAUAAAUGAGUUUAAAAAUUGAUCCUUUUUAAAGAUUAGAAGACUAAGUUACUUUAGGGAUAACAGCGUCAUUUCUUUUGAGAGCCCAUAUCGAAAAAGAAGUUUGUGACCUCGAUGUUGAAUUAAAAUAUCUAAAUAAUGCAGCAGUUAUUUAAGAAGGUCUGUUCGACCUUUAAAUUUUUA
rnacentral:rRNA from 1 species